CUGCUCUCUCCCGCGAAAAAACUGAUUAAAUUGAAUUCAGGAACCCACAAACUUGGCAUUUUGCAUUGGAGAGAGAUGGAGCAGCAGCAGCAACCAAAGAUAAAACUGGCGAAUGCUCUGCUAAAGAACUCAAAAAACCCCAAACUCGCAUGGCAACUCUUCAAACGGAUGUCUCUCUCAACUCCCAACCUCUUCUUCCAAUCUCUCCCCAUCAUCACCCGCAUUCUCCUUCGCUCCAGUAUGUUCUCCGAGAUCGACAGUCUUCACCAUUUCCUUCUUUCCCAACCACCCGUAAAGAAUUCUUCUCUAUACACCGUCGUUAGGAUCCUGGCCGAGUCAGGCCAUGUUGACAAGGCCUUGUCUCAGUUUCAAACUCUCCGAGCCCAGUUCCCUGAUCGCCCUCCUUUGGUUUCGCUGUACAAUUUGCUUAUUCAGUCUUCGCUGAAAGGAGAUUGUCAGCAAAACUUCGUUUCUUGGUUGUAUAAAGACAUGAUUUUUGCUGGGAUUUUGCCAGAAACGUAUACUUUUAACCUGUUGAUUGGUGGGCUGUGUGAUUCGGGUCGAUUGGAAGAUGCUCAGAAACUAUUUGAUAAAAUGCGUGAAAAAGGAUGUGAACCUAAUGAGUUCAGUUUUGGGAUUUUGGUCCGUGGGUAUUGUAGAGUCGGACUUGCUUCUAAAGGAUUGGAGCUUUUGGAUUUGAUGAAGGAAAUGGAUGUGUUCCCAAAUUUGGUUAUUUAUAACACUUUGAUUGCGUGCUUUUGUAAAGAAGGUAAGACUGAGGAGGCAGAGAAAUUGGUGGAGCAGAUGAGGGAGGAUGGGCUUGUUCCGGAUGUUGUUACAUUUAACUCUAGGAUUUCAGCACUUUGCAAGUCGGGUAACAUGUUGGAGGCUUCCAGGAUUUUUAGGGACAUGCAGAUGAAUGAAGAGUUGGGCUUACCUAAACUUAAUACGAUUACAUUUAACUUGAUGUUAGAGGGGUUUUGCAAUGAAGGCAUGUUGGAUGAAGCGAAGACCCUGGUUCAGUCCAUGAAGCAAAAUGAUGUUUUCCCGAAUGUUGAGAGCUAUAACAUAUGGCUGUAUGGUUUGGUAAGGAAUAAGAAGGUCUUUGAUGCUCAGUUAGUUCUUAAAGAUAUGGUGGAUCAGGGUGUAGAACCAAGUACAUACUCAUACAACAUUGUGAUGAAUGGCCUGUGCAAGAAUGGGAUGCUCGGUGAUGCAAGGACGUUGAUGGGAUUGAUGACAAGUGGUGGGAUCUCUCCAGAUACGGUCACUUAUAGUACUCUACUCCAUGGAUACUGCUGCAAAGGAAAGGUAGUAGAGGCAAACAGGGUUUUACAUGAGAUGAUGAAGAAUGGAUACACUCCAAAUAAUUAUACAUGCAACAUUUUGCUGCACAGCCUCUGGAAAGAAGGGAAAAUUUCAGAAGCAGAGAAGCUACUGCAAAAGAUGAAUGAAGGUGGCUGUGAUUUGGACAUUGUGAGUUGCAAUAUUGUGAUUGAUGGUCUUUGCAGAACUGGAAGGGUGGACAAAGCAGUUGAAAUUGUGAGUGAAAUGUGGACUCAUGGAAGUGCUGCUCUUGGUAAUAUUGGGAAUUCCUUCAUUGGCCUGGUGGAUGAGGGAAACAACGGAAAGAAAUGCAUGCCUGACUUAAUUACAUAUUCAACCAUCAUUAGCGGCUUGUGCAAUGAUGGAAGGCUUGAUGAAGCCAAAAAGAAGUUUGUUGAGAUGAUGAAGAAAAACUUAUACCCUGAUUCAGUUGUAUAUAAUACUUUUCUCUACAAUUUGUGUAAAAAGGGUAAGGUAUCAUCUGCAUUUCAGGUUUUGAAGGACAUGGAGAAAAAGGGUUGCAACAAGAACUUAAAUACAUACAACUCUUUGAUUCUAGGGCUGCGGAGCAAGAGUCAAAUAUUUGAAAUGUCUGGACUGAUGGAUGAGAUGAGAGAAAGAGGCAUUUCUCCCAAUGUUUUUACAUACAAUACUGUAAUAAGCUGUCUUUGUGAAGCAGGAAGAACAGAAGAAGCUAUUUCUCUUUUAGAGGAAAUGUUACAGAAGGGUACAACCACCCCAAAUACUGAUUCAUUCGAGUUUUUAAUUAAAGCAUUUUGUAGGGUGGGUGAAUUCAGGCCUGCACUAGAUGUAUUUGAUAUUGCUCUUGAUAUAUGUGGCCAUAAGGAAGCACUUUAUGCUAUAAUAUUCAAUGAGAUGCUAACCGGGGGGGAAACAUUGGAAGCAAAGGUAAUAUUUGAAGCUGCAAUGAACAGAUAUCUUUGCCUAGGCAACUUCCUGUACACAGAUCUGAUUGAUAGGUUGUGCAAAGAUGAAAAGUUUGAAGAAGCUCAUGAGGUUCUCAACAAAAUGAUUUCUAAAGGGUAUGGGUUUGAUCCUGCAUCAUUUAUGCCAGUGAUUGAUGCAUUGACUAAAAGAGGAAGGAAGCACGAGGCUGAUGAACUAUCAGAGAGAAUGCUAAAUAUGGCUGCACAAGGUAGGGUGGUAAACAAGGUUUACUUUAACCAAGUUGAUAGGGCGUCAAGUCGGGGGAAACUAGGGAAACUAGAUCGAUCUCUUGGAAGCCAUUGGCAGACAAUCUUGCACAGAGAAGAUGGAAGUUCAACAGCUUUGAAAACUUUGAAGCGGGUGCAAAAGGGAUGGGGUCAAGGAAGUGUAUCAAGUCUACAAGUCAAAAGAAGUGACUAUCUUGAUGAAUGGGAUGCUGCUGGAUAAAAUUAUAUGUUUUUGUCACAUAUACAUAUGCAGGAUAAUUUCUCAUGUUGUUCGGACUGAGGGUCAAGACUUAGGAACAAGUUCCAAUAUAAACAGCCACUCAUUCAAAGGAAAGAUGUCAAACAUAAUUAAGAGGUCUACGGCCAAAUGCAAGAAGCAGCCACUAAACAGUCAAGAGAACUCAACAUUACAAUCAACAGUUAAUACAGUAUAUGCAGAAAGUCUACUUGCUAUAGGAUCCGCAAGAUCUUAUGCUAAUCUUCAGCCAUUGUCUUGCUAUUCCAACUUUGUCAGCUCUGUGAGUGUUUCUGAUCUGAAUUUUGUCUCCAGACUGCUCAAUUGCUCAUGACUGAGCACAAACAGAUAUAUCAGCUUUUGUAUACUUUAAACAACCAAUUGUAUGCUAGGGAAGUCAAGGGCCACAAUCCAAUCAACUGAAGGGACAGUAAAUUCACCAAAGAAGUGUUCUUUCUUAAUUCCAGUCAGCUGUGAAAACAGUAGUCCUCACGCCUCGACCGAUGAUAAUUGUUUCUGACUACAGUCUAUUUCUUGGUCUGUGAAGCAAAGAGUUCUCUAAUGAAGUAAAGCUUGAAGAUGUCAUCUGCUGUUAAACCAUUAUCCUGACAUGGUGUUAGUCAACAUGCUACAUGUAAGGGGGUCUGAAAACUUGCUAUCCAUGUAGUGCCAGGUAAUUUAAACUGCAGAGCUUUCAAAACAUGUCUUUUUGUAAAUAAUGCUGAUGCAGUUGUCCAAGAAGUGACAGGUAAAAUAUGCUGAUGCAGUUGGUAAAGGGGACUGAAAGCUUGGUAUCCAUUUAAUGACAGUUGCAGGAACAAAUAAGAUCACAAAAUCUGAAGUUAUGCAAUAAUGCUGAUGGAUCAUGGCAAAAAGCAGUUACUUACCUUGAGGGAGAAAAAUGACUCAUGACUCGUGUAUACUAGUGAAUGUGUUAUUGUCUAUUUAGAUGGAAGCCUAAAAGAGCUUCCUGGAAAACAAGACCUAUAUUCAUGAUAAAUUCUCUGCAGAAAAAGUUCUGUAUUAGCCUUCUGAUCUGCAUAAGCAGUUGUAAUAUGUUAUCCUUACAAGUCUUGUCAUGUCAAAUUUCAGGCCUAGUUUCUUACAGAGCACACUUGGAUCAAUCUUCUCGGCUUCUUUAAGCUUGGACUACUUUGUGCAUACUCCUUAGUUCACUACACGGACCCCAUGCUGCUUGUUUUGACGUUUUGGGAUAUAAUCAGGCUUCAUAAACUUUUACUUCAUUGAUUGUAGAAGUCAAUCUAGAUGAUGUAGAGGUUUUGUGCGGUCUGUCAAUGGUCAAGCAUAAAUAGCUCACCAACACAGGAGACUUUCUUAUAGAAUAAUUUUUUUUGAUCGAGAAUUUAGUUUGAUUUCAUGUUUAGUUUAGAAGAUGUUCAUUAAUAGCCUGCUGGAUUACAGAUUCUGAAAAACAGCUUUCUUCCACCUUCUCUUGUUGCCUUGAUCAGUGGUAUUUUAUUUGGGAUUUUAAUGUUUGUAUAUUUGUUAAUAUUGUAGCUUCUUAGUUGCUUUUUUUUUUUUUGGUUGUAGUCCGGCAUGUAGCUUCCUACUUUCUCUUAAAUUAUUCAGGUCAGGGGAAGUUAGACACAUACUUUCAGUGUCUUGCAUCUGUGCUGUCUAGCCAUGAAUGCUUUUGGUUGGAUAUUUUGCAUGGCAUUUACUUUUCUUGGAAUGAUUUCAGAGGUUGUGGAGAUGUUGACUUGUAUUUUUUUUUUUGCUUUUUGGGUAGAAGAUAUUGACUUGUAUAAAGAAAUAGUUUAUCUUGUAACUGCUGUCAUUUCGUUCAGUUUAUACUGAUUUGCUUUGAUGGUUUGGGGUAUUGGAAAUUUCCAGGAAAGGUACUUGGCUGCUGUUAUUAAGUCAUAAGUGAGUUCUGAGUGAUGUUGGUCUGGUAAUUUUUAAGUGCAUGGAAAAUGUCAUCUUCUCUAAUAGGGAUAUUUAGUGUAGGACAUUCAGUCCUGUGGGUGAGAGUUUGGUCCUUUACUACUUGAGACAAUGAAGAGUUACAUGCGGUGGUUUUAUGGAGAUCUCAUGCACAUGAAAGUUGGCACUGUCAGUCAGGGAUUUUCAUGUGAAAAAUGCUUAGUUAUGUCAGCAAAGUAAAACUUAGUUGGCAUGCCUGCAUAAGGAGAAAAUUGAAAAAAAAAAAAGCAUUUAAAAGUAUACGAGUCCACGUUCUGUUUAGGUUGUCUUAUUGGCAUGUCUCUACUUACCUUGACGACCCAUGUAUCUUCAAAUUUUGUUUAGUUCUUUUCUAGAUAAGUGGGUCACACGUCUGUAGGUUUGUUCCCACUUCAUCAAGUUUGUUAUCUUUAUUAUCUUCUUAAUUUAAAGUACAAAAAGUUGGUUCUAUUGUUCACGAGUAAGGUGCUAAGGAAUUUGGGCAGUGGAAGUGUUUCGUGUUAAUGGACUAACCUGAUACUCUGGUUCUCUUAUAGGAAAAAGAGUGCUAGCCUUAGAUAGCUUUGCUCAAACCUGUUACAUAUUAGAGCAUUGGUGACACAAGCAUAUCAUCUCUAGUAGAACUGUCAGCUACUCAAAUUUGUCAAUAUUCAAGUUAUCCUCUUUCCUUUAUAGUUGAGAUGUUAUUGAAGGACACCGGGGCUCCCCUACUUGAGAUAUCCUCUACUUGAAAUCGUCUUGUCUGUCUAAACUCUGGCAUGAUUUCAUUCAAUGUAUCAACUGAAAGACAUCUUAUUUUCUGCAUUAAGAUGGACUAAUGGUGGCAUUGCAGGAAUAAGUCCAGAUACAAGCAGACACUCAUCCAAAUUUCCAAAGGAAAGGUGCUAAACUUUUGGAUAUCUUGAAAUGUGAAGCAAGUCUUCUGAUCUUGCUGGUAAAAUGGAAUGCUUGAAAUUCAACAAACCCCCACUUUUCUUCUUCAGAAAUGACUGAAAUGAGUGCACUUUUUACCAUAAAAAAUUGCUCCCCCUCCCUUUUUUACAGAUAUGGAUAAUUUACCACCGAGGACUUGUAAUGGUUUUCAGAUCAGGAUAUCUUUUCUAAUGUCAUGCAGGUUGUAUAGACAAUUGCAAUCUAUGAUGACCCUACAGGUUUUAUUCAAAUAAAAGAGCAUCAAGUCCAGCUAGAGACACUUAUGUUCUUCCCGGGUAUGAAAAAUCCUAAUGAUGAAGAAGGCAGUUAGGACUUAGGGCUACAGGUUACAAUUACAUGGUUAUGUGAAGAAUGAAUGCUCAAUUCUUCUUUUUCUUGAACUGAUUGACAUACAAUAUUCAGGUGUCUCUGUGACCUGAAACAUUCAUUUAGUAUGACAUUCUGGAUUGGGAGAUCAACUCAACUUGAAAUAAGGUUAACUAAAUGUUAUCUGCUGUCAAGAAAAGGAAGCAAAUAAGGGAAGGCUCACCCCCUCCCAUAUUGUCUCCCUGCA